rnacentral:snoRNA from 1 species
AAGAUCAUACUUCACAGGAUCAUUUCUGUAGUAUAUCUUGACUUGUUUCCCACCAGAAACUUGUCUCCUUUCAACCCACGAUGACGAGUUAAGACGCUGGUUUCUGAGCGUGAAACAGGCUGUGAGUGUAGCUGUCUCGACAGCCAUCAAACACAGUCAUUGAGGACCGUUUCCGUUAAAUCCAUGUGAAAUAGCGGAAGGAAACUAGCGUGUUCAGAGUGGU